rnacentral:rRNA from 1 species
GACGAACGCUGGCGGCGUGCUUAACACAUGCAAGUCGAGCGAGGCCCCUCCUUCGGGAGGGUGUCCUAGCGGCGAACGGGUGAGUAACACGUGGGCAACCUGCCCUCCGCUCUGGGAUAACUCCGGGAAACCGGGGCUAAUACCGGAUACGACCUCCACGGGCAUCUGCGGAGGUGGAAAGUUUUUCGGCUGAGGAUGGUCCCGCGGCCUAUCAGCUAGUUGGUGGGGUAGUGGCCCACCAAGGCGACGACGGGUAGCCGGCCUGAGAGGGCGACCGGCCACACGGGGACUAAGGGAGGCAGCAGACGCGAAUGGGAGGCAGCAGGGGAGAAUCUGACGGAACAGGGGAGAGUGAGUCGCGGAGACGUCGGGAGAGUAAAGAAGUGUUAUGAGGUAUAAACCAAUGUGUAAAGAGACAAGGCGAAAGUGACGGUACCUGCAGAGAAAGCACCGGCCAACUACGUG